rnacentral:sRNA from 1 species
UCAAUGGAGUCCUCAUUAUGAUGUGCCC